rnacentral:rRNA from 1 species
GCUUAUCACCAUUCCAGAUUGAAUAAAACCGAUCUCGUCUGAUCUCGGAAGUCAAGCAAUCUCGGGCUUGGUUAGUACUUGGAUGGGUGACCGCUUGGGAAUACCAAGUGUGAUAAGCA